rnacentral:rRNA from 1 species
GCAAGUCGAACGAGAAAGCUCCCUUCGGGGAGUGAGUAGAGUGGCGCACGGGUGAGUAACACGUGGAUAAUCUACCCGAUGAUCUGGGAUAACACCACGAAAGAGGUGCUAAUACCGGAUAAGCCCACGACAUCUUCGGAUGAUGUGGGAAAAGGGGGCUUCGGCUUCUGUCAUCGGAUGAGUCCGCGGCCCAUUAGCUAGUUGGCGGGGUAAUGGCCCACCAAGGCUUCGAUGGGUAGCUGGUCUGAGAGGAUGAUC